UGGUUUUCUGCAAGGUAUUCUUUGCAAGCACUGAAAUUAUCGGUAACAAAUAGUAGUGUGAUAAGAUGAUUCGUAGCAAGUAGCAAGUAACAAUAGUAACGAAGGUGCAGCAGGAUGGCCCAAUCCCUUUUGUAGCAAGGGACAAGCUUGGACAAACUCUUAUAUGAGGUAAAGCGCUCCCGAUGACACAUGGGAAUUUCUGUC
rnacentral:lncRNA from 1 species